GUGGGGAAUAUUGCACAAUGGGCGGAAGCCUGAUGCAGCAACGCCGCGUGAGGGAUGACGGCCUUCGGGUUGUAAACCUCUUUUAGCAGGGAAGAAGCGAAAGUGACGGUACCUGCAGAAAAAGCGCCGGCUAACUACGUGCCAGCAGCCGCGGUAAUACGUAGGGCGCAAGCGUUAUCCGGAAUUAUUGGGCGUAAAGAGCUCGUAGGCGGUUUGUCGCGUCUGCUGUGAAAACCCGAGGCUCAACCUCGGGCCUGCAGUGGGUACGGGCAGACUAGAGUGCGGUAGGGGAGAUUGGAAUUCCUGGUGUAGCGGUGGAAUGCGCAGAUAUCAGGAGGAACACCGAUGGCGAAGGCAGAUCUCUGGGCCGUAACUGACGCUGAGGAGCGAAAGGGUGGGGAGCAAACAGGCUUAGAAACCCCAGUAGUCC
rnacentral:rRNA from 1 species